UUUUUUCAGAGUGAAGUGAUUGGGCUUCCCUGGUGGCUCAGUGGUAAAGACUCUGCCUGCCAAUGCAGGAGACUCGGGUUCAACCCCUCAUCUGGGGAGACCCCACACCCCACUGAGCAGCUAAGCCCACGCACCACAACUAUUGAGCCU